AACGAACGCUGGCGGCAGGCUUAACACAUGCAAGUCGAGCGCCCCGCAAGGGGAGCGGCAGACGGGUGAGUAACGCGUGGGAACGUACCUUUUGCUACGGAAUAGCUCCGGGAAACUGGAAUUAAUACCGUAUGUGCCCUUCGGGGGAAAGAUUUAUCGGCAAAAGAUCGGCCCGCGUCUGAUUAGCUAGUUGGUGGGGUAAUGGCCUACCAAGGCGACGAUCAGUAGCUGGUCUGAGAGGAUGAUCAGCCACACUGGGACUGAGACACGGCCCAGACUCCUACGGGAGGCAGCAGUGGGGAAUAUUGGACAAUGGGGGCAACCCUGAUCCAGCCAUGCCGCGUGAGUGAUGAAGGCCUUAGGGUUGUAAAGCUCUUUCGUCAGGGAAGAUAAUGACGGUACCUGAAGAAGAAGCCCCGGCUAACUUCGUGCCAGCCGCCGCCGUAA
rnacentral:rRNA from 1 species